GGUUUCUUGGCGCAGUUGGUUAGCGCGUCUCCUUAACAUUUAAGACAGGGAAUGUUAAGAUUUGCGGAGGAGGUCGCCGGUUCGAACCCGGCAGAAAUCA